rnacentral:siRNA from 1 species
UAUCAAGGUGAGAAGCUUAA